GUUAGGAGAAGACCCCGGGGAAGGAAACAUCUCCAGGACCCAGCUCUGACUGCCUGUGGACCUUUCUACUUGUUUCUGUGCAAAACCCAGUUAGUUCCUGAAGAUCUAUGUAAUCUGCUACUACUCUGAAGAAGAAAUCUCAAUCAAGACUAUGAACUCCAUGAAGGCAGGACCCAUAUUUUAUCUGAGCUCUGUAUCCCCUACAAUGUCCAUCAAUGUUCUGUGCGAAUCCAUGAACAGAGAUAAAGUGAAAACUUCAGAUGCACCAAGAAAAUGGAACCCAAGAGAAAUGGCAAGAUGCAUCAUGUUUGGAAUUCUCAAAUAUGCCUCUAGGCUGAUGGGAGACAGAGUCUUAGAAAAAUUGUCAUAAUGGGAAGUAUCUGAAUCACUUUGCCAUCAUAGAUAUUCAUUUCAGGUAAACUGACCCAUCUCCUCUAUAUAUUUCGGGGAAAGUACUAAGCACAGGUACAAUAUACAACAUAAUCAAAGAAGUAAAUAGACACAUAACAAUUCUCCUAAUCCUCCUUUGAAAGGAAAAGUGUUCUAUUGCCUUCAUGUUAUUGAUUUUGGACAAUGAUCACACAUAAUCCUUUGGAUAAGUAACUGCAAUUGUAAGUUUUAGAAAGUGUCAGACCCAGUUAGUAAACUGUGUAUAAUAUGCCAAUUAUAAUAAUAAAAUAUUAACCAUAGCACAACAAAGAUAUAAGUUGGUAUAUUAGAUAUAGCAACUAAAAAUGUUAAGAGUUUCUGUUGGAGGAAUAAAAACUUUAGGUCUGUGUAGUUAUCUAGAGAAGCUCAAACCCAUACAGAAGGAUCUGGGUUCAUUGAGAGUGGUGAGUGUACAGCUGGCCUGAUAAGAGAGUAUGAAAACAACCUUGUUUUCUUCAGGUGUUUGAUCCUUUAAUGUUUUAUGCCCUUGUUGUCGAGCCCAUUGCAUAUUUCUUAACAUCCUCUGUAUGUUCUGCUGUGUUGACAUGCUAAUUAGCUAUUAAAAACCCUACAAAACAUACUACUGAAAAUCAAUUUGGGGUCUUUUCACUGUGUAUGGUAUGGGGUGUGGUAAGAUCUCUAGUUUUAAUUUACCACAAUUCAAGUUUGGAUCUGCAGCUCAAAAUUAUGCUCUAGAGAUAUCUUUAUUUCAAACACCUUCAACUCUCUGGAUUUCUUCCCAAAAGUCAGUAUACCAAUGGGGCACACAGAAAAAUGCUCAAAAAGAGCAAAACACCCUGUGUAGACAUGUAUAUAAAAUAACUGCAUCCCUUCUGAGCUCUUAGGUUUUACCUGGGUCCAAACCUCUUCCCAAGGUUAGCCAAGUUUGUGUAAAGGUAAAAAUGAUCACCUUAAAAUCUGCCAUAAAUAGGAU